AGUAGCGGCGCAUUCAUAAGUCCCGCCCACUGGUCGCGCCGGCGCUGCUUUCGGCGUGCCGUGAGCAGAUGAGAGAGAGAGUCAGAGCAGAUCAGUACAGACGGACCAGACAGUUUCUCCUGAAAAUCCACUGAUCUAACUGGAAAUGUGAUUGAGUGCACUAAAAGUGGAGCUUUUGAAGUCGAUGCGUCAGCCUGAAGUGAUGUCGUCGGAGACAGAGAAGAGAGAGACGGAGCGGAUCACAGCGUGUUGAAGCACUACGCAGAAGAGGCUGAAAUAAUGGAGGAAAACGGGAAAAAUUGAGAAAUGAAAAAAAGCUACCAAAUCUGAUAAAUGAAGUGAAGAUGGCCCUGAAGUCUCAGUGUUCGUCAGCAUCAGUCAGCUCUGACUUGGAAGAUGGGACAGGAUUUGCCACAGAGUAAUUACAGAGCCCUUCCAAAAGAACAGAUUAGGUUCAUCAGAAAGAAGAAAGUCAUAUACACCUAGGAUGGCUUGAGGGAACAAUGUUGCAGAACGUGUCCUCAUGUGGUGCCCACCAGCAUUGAUCACUCUAGACUACAUUACACCCACAUGUCAGAGAUAAACUUUGAGCUCUAAAGGGCAUGCAUCUCAACUAAUAUAUACAUAUUGCAAGACAGAGAAGAGAGCCUUGUAUCUGCUGGAUAUUUCUUCUGGUGAGAAAAUCCUGCAUAACAGAUCUGUAUUUUCAUGCCAAUUUGUAAUAUUUUACAUUAUGUACUGACAAGCACACCGACGCACACACGUAAAGGAUUAGUUCACCCAAAAAUGACACUUUUUUUCAUCAUUUACUCACCCUAAUGUUGUUCCAAACCUGUGAGUUUCUUUCUUCAGCUAAAACCAAAGUCCCUUUCAAGGAAAG